ACUGCUCAGUAACACGUAGCUAACCUACCCUUAAGUCAAGGAUAACCUCGGGAAACUGAGGAUAAUACUUGAUAGGAGAUAUACCCUGGAAAGAUUCAUCUCUCAAACUCGCGCUUAAGGAUGGGGCUGCGGCGGAUUAGGUAGUUGGCGGGGUAAAAGCCCACCAAGCCAGUGAUCCGUAAGGGCUCUUAGCGGAGAAGCCCUGAGAGGGAAUCUGAGAUACUAUUCCCAGCCCUACGGGGUGCAGCAGGUAGGAAUCUUUUGCAAUGCGCGCAAGCGUGACAAAGCGAGCCAGAGUGCUUUUCAAUUGAAAAGCUUUUGCCAAAUCCAAAAAGUUUGGCGAAUAAGGACUGGGCAAGACUAGUGCCAGCCGCCGCGGUAAUACUAGCGGUCCAAGUCGCAGCCAUCAUUAUUGGGUCUAAAAUAUCCGUAGCUUGCUUAAUAAGUUCCCUGUGAAAUCUCAUCUCUUAAGGAUGAGGCGUGCAGGGAAUACUGCUAAGCUAGAGACUGGAAGACGUAGAAAGUACGUUCAAAGUAGCGGUAAAAUGUGUUAAUCUUGAACGGACUCACAAUAGCGAAGGCAUUCUACGAGGACAGUUCUGACAGUAAAGGAUGAAGGCUAGGGGCGCAAAGUGGAUUAGAUACCCAUGUAGUCCUAGCAGUAAACACUGCAUACUAAACAUUAGUACCUCUUCGAGAGGUAUUAGUGCUGAAGGGAAGCCGAAGAGUAUGCUACCUGGGAAGUAUAGCCGCAAGGCCGAAACUUAAAGGAAUUGGCGGGGGAGCAC
rnacentral:rRNA from 1 species